rnacentral:rRNA from 1 species
GACAGAGGGGGCAAGCGUUGCUCGGAAUUACUGGGCGUAAAGGGCGCGUAGGCGGCUUGAUAAGUCAAAGGUGAAAUCCCUCGGCUCAACUGAGGAACUGCCUUUGAAACUGUCAGACUUGAGGCCGGGAGGGGGUAGCGGAAUUCCCAGUGUAGCGGUGAAAUGCGUAGAUAUUGGGAGGAACACCGGUGGCGAAGGCGGCUACCUGGACCGGUUCUGACGCUGAUGCGCGAAAGCGUGGGUAGCAAACAGG